rnacentral:lncRNA from 1 species
GGGGACUUCCCCUCCCCCUCCUCCCGGCCAGCGACCAGCUGCCACAGGGCGCAUUUCCACCACAGCGGGGCGGGUGGGGUCGGAGGUGGAGUCGGCGGGAGACUGCCCCCCCUUCCCACCGCAGCGAUCACCAAAUCCCGGGGCCAAAGAAGCGAGCGGGUCUUCCCGGAGCCGGGUUGCUUGGAAAUGUAGCCCAAAGCGGGUGGUAAACUUUACUUCCCUUUGCUAAGUGAGAUUAGGAAAGCAAUGUUUUCUUUCCCUCCCGUAAUCAGCUUGAGUACAAAUGGAGAUGCCUACUGGGGAUUUAACAACUUUGACAUCUCGCUUUGACUUUUCUCAAAGCCCUGUCCUCAUUAUUAAAUUGGUGUUAAUUGGCUUUGGGGGAUAGGAACCAAAUUUUCAGUCACAAAUUUUGACACCCCCGAGGGGACUUUUAAGGAGUCCCCACUCUGCUUUCUUGGGGAAGCCUAGCACUCAAAACAACUGCAAACAGAGGAUCAGCUUUUUGGGAGCUGACUACUGAAAAGUUAGGAGAUGUAAAAAAUGCCUAGUGCCUGGGGUCAAACCAAACCAGAGGAACUAAUCUUGGAAGUGAAAGGUGGGGCUGAGAGACUCCCAGCAGCUGCCAGAGCCAUUUUGCUCUGGGGAACUCCCUCAUUCCUUACCUGCACUUUAAGGAUUACUCCACCUCUGUUUACUUAACAAAAGGGACAAUGACUGCAGUAAUGUGUUGAUAUUAUAGAUUGUUUCUUGGGGAUGAUCUUGGCUAAAUGCGUAUCUAAAAGAUGAUUUUUUUAUUGUAACAAUUUGGUAUCGAAUGGGUUUCUAAAGCAUUGCACUAUCUUACAGUUAAAAGUUGGGUUUAAGCAAUUGUUUAGCUUGAUUUCAGAUAGUUCAUGCUAGAAAACUUAAAUAUUUAGGAUAAAAAAAUAUUAGAAAGUUUCAGUUUUGAACUGGGUAGCCUGAAAAGAUUUCACUAGGUGUACCAGUGCAUUAACUAGGAUAAGAAUAAUAAAUUCUGAUAUGGUAUCUGUUCCCCUCAGUGUGUAAGAUUCAGGGAAAAAAAGUGUUAAAUUAAAAUGUUGGCCUAGUUUAUUAAAAUGACCCUAAUUAGCAACAGUUUUGAAAAUUUCGGAUACACAUGGUAGUGUGUGGUUCUUUUUAAAAUUUUUCAGGUAAUUUAAUGUAACUUAAUACUACUUUAGGAACUUCAGAACAAAGGAAGCAGCUUAAUGAUCCUGAGGAAAUUUCCUCUGAUGGUGGCUUUUAUAUUAUCAGAAAAAAGAUCCUAUUUUCAGUUUUGUGUGAGCUAGUUUUUCUAAUGUAAAGAGAUAUAAAGAUAUAAAAUUUUGAGAAUUGCAUCUUAAACCUGGAAAUUAUGACUUAUAGCUAAAAUGCCUUAGGCAUGAGGUUUCUGCUCAGAAUUCCAGUUUUCCCAGUUCCUUCCAGACCUCAGCCAGGACUUAAGUUGAUAUGCAAAUAAAAGAAGCCUGUAGCACUCAGCAGAAGACAGAUCUCAGGCCCAAGGAAAAAAAAAAGAAUAAAAGUGUCUUUUUACCUGAACUCAAACUAGACCCCAACCAAAGUGUAAAUUAUAUGAUAUUUACUAAUUACUGGCCAGUCAUCUUUUUUAGGACUCUUGCUUUUUCUUAGAUUCUGUAUUUUUUUGAGCUAAUGAUUUUGAUCCUGCAGACGGGUUAAUAUUUUCUGAUCAGUUCUAUUUUUGAUCAACUGUGGAGUUUUUAAACAUUGCAAUGGAGAUUUCACCUGAAAAAGCUACAAGGGUGUUACACUUGUGUUAUGUGUUGUAUGUCGGUAUGUCUGUAUGUGUGUAUGUCCAUAUAUCCUGCAGUGAUGACAAUUGACAGAUGAGGAGCACUCAUAAAAAAAGUUUAAAAAUAGGUCCAAAUAUCUUUGAUUCACGUGAUUCAAAUGGUUCAAUUUAAAUUGGGUAAACAGAUAAAAGUAAAGAUGUCUUUAAAAUUAAGCUUAUAAGUUUUUCUAGGUGUUCAAAAAAGGCCCUAAUAAAAUGUUGAUGUCUAUGAAAUAAUCUGCCUAAAUUCAGAAAUUUACAAGUAUUGUUUCAAAAUGUGAACAGAAGGAGGUUAACAGAUGAAAAAGAGAAACUAAAAGGUUCUAGAUAUGGAUUUAAUAGAGGGAAAAUGUGUUUCUAGAUAAGAGAGUCUAUGUGAUUAAGUAAUUAAGAGGGUUUAAGUGAUAAAGAAGGUCUGUGUAAGUUGGUUAUAUGUGUAAGUUUGAGCAAGUAAUCUUAAAGAAAUUAAAAAUUAUACAACUAUGGUUAAACAACAACUGUUAUUUUUCAAUAUUGUAAUGUUGUUUCUUUAAAAGCUAACCUUGGUUAAUAAAAAUCAUCAAUGUAAUUAUGGUGCUAUUAAUAUAUGUUCAUAUCUUCCAGGUAUACAAGUCUGUAAGGUAGAAGCUUCAAAAGAGCAUUAUAUCAAGCUGGUGUUCUAAAGUUGUAUGGUAAUUUUAGGCUUAAAAGAAAAACAUGUUGGAGAUUUAUUUAUAUCAUUUGUGUUCUACAACUGGACUUAUUAUCAAUAAGAUAUGUACAGUUCCAUGUUACUUUUUACACUGAGAUACAAUUUAAAUGUAUUUUUAAGUUAAUGAGAGCCUAAUCUGUGUGACGGUUUUAUUGUAAAACACCAAAGUACUUUGCUACUUUUCUAUAAAAGGUUAAAAACUUUCAGCCUUACUUUAAUUCAUGUUUUAGAUGUGAUAUUAUGUUGUGUUAGCUAAUAUCCAUGUAAACUUGAGCAACAAUUUAUAUAGGCUUUGUAAAAUGAUGUCUAAAAAAAGCAAAGAUCAGCUUCAGAACUAUAAUAUUUAAGAUUUAUAAAGAGCCCCGCCUUACUUGAGAUAAGGCUCUAUGUCCAACCUCAUGUGAAAGAGAUUAUAAAAGAAGUAAGCCAGAUUUCAGUACAUUUAAAGUUGUGUCCAAAAGUAGGUUUUUGCCAAGAUUACUAGGAUCUCAAACUGGGAAUUAUGAUGUAUAACCCUGCCAGAAUUCAAGGUAGCUAUUAUAUAAGCUAAAUAUGUUUUUACCCUAGUUAGUUUUGUUUUGUAGUUUGCUUAUAGAUGGUUUAAGGAUUGCCUGUUAAUGUUUUAAAGAGGUACUGCUUUAAGAACACAACCUGGGUCAACUUAAGAUAAGGAGUUAUCACCUACAGGAUAGAGAGAUAGACGUUAAAGCCCAGUGCUCUUAAUAUAAGGCUGUUAACUUAUUUGCUGGAUGUUUAAGAUUAAGUUUUAAAAUUAAAAAUUUGGCUCUUGCCCUCUGAGUCAGUCUGAAUCAGGGAAUAGGGGACUUCUCCAAAGGGCUCUGCAACUCUAGGCCACAUAACCUCCUGAGCAGGGAGAUUAAUGAGACCAGUGGAGGACAGAAGGCCAAUCAGUGCAUUUGCUGUGAAGAGGAGGGUCAUCAGAAAGGGGAGACAUCCCUGAUGCUUCCAAGGGAAGCCACAUGGUCAAGCAAGGCCUGGACCCAUCCUAACGUAAAUGGCACUAGCAGAACUGAGAAGCUGCUGUGAAGUUCCCCGAGGACUCCCAGGGAAACUCAGCUGACUGUUAACAAUAGAUAAGAACAAAAGUCAGUUUGACUUGCUUCAUCUUAAACACUUAGCAAAGACAGUCAAAGCCAAAGCACAGCUGUUCCUGGGCAUUUUAAAUGAUAAUAAUAAUUAAAUGUAACUUCCAAAAAUAAGUAAACUGGAGGCUACAAAAGAGGUUCUCAGACAGAAAUGCCUGAUAACUAUUAAAAAGAACUGCCAGAGUAGUUUUUAGUUUAAGGCCCACAGAUAUUCCUAACCUACACAGGUAGGCUUGGUGUUUGCUAGUAUGGUUAUCCAGCCCUAAGUAACAAAAUUAAAGGUUUCUCUAUUAGACACAGAGGUCAUACUAGUAAAAAGGAUUUUACAAGAUCAGAUGGCAUUAAAUUAUUAGACUAUAUCUUAAAGGAAAGAACAUCUGUAAACCUAAAUGUUAAUUGUUGUGUUUACAUCCCUAACAUUUCUGGCAAUGUGACAAAUAUCCUUAAAGAUUUACAUGCUCAGAUAGAAGCCAUGUCCUCAGCAACUUUGUCAUGGAAACAAUAUCUUAGCUCCUGGUUCUUGGUACUUCCUGGUGGAAAACAUUGUUAGUCUUUGUCUUGGCCAUUGUACUCAUUGGCAUAUUCCUGUGCUGUGACAUUUAUUGCUGCAUCAAUAUGGUUCCAGUACUAAUGAAUUCUUGUUUCUCUUAUAGACCACCCAUCACUCAAAUGGCCCUCCAGCCUAUUACUUCUCAAUUGGACUUUUAUCAUGGACCACUCGAUAGACCCAAUAUUUUUUAAGGGGGACUCCAAACUGCUUGCCCCACACCAUCCCUUUUCAGCCUGAAGAAGCCAGAAAGAUCCUCUUCGCCCCCCUUCCUUACAGCAGUAAGGAGUUCCCAAAUUAGAGGGGGGGGGGAAUGAAGCCAGAUUUAAAGUUAGGUAGUCAGUGUAGUUAGAUAAAUCGGGGUCUAAUACCAAGUAAAAUCUAAAAUGGAGGCCAUGCAGAAAAUGAUUCCAGGGAACACAAAACAACUCAUGAAAUAUAAAACCCUUCAAUAAUUGUGAUUCAUUACUUUUAAGAUUAAAAGUAGUCAGAAAAAUGAGUGGGGAAUGUAAGGGUAAAAGAAAUUGAAGUUAAAGUGUAAAAGACCGGGCAUUGUAAAGUUUCUAAGCUGCAAGGCCUGAGUUAAAAUGUAAAGGACUAGGUAUUGUUAAGUUCCUAUGCUACAUGCAAAACCUGAAAUUCCUGUAGCUGUUAAGACAAUACUCAAACUGCCCAGUAAAUAUUUCCCCUGACCGCCUGGUUGUUUAAUAACUUAAGGGCUCUGUGUGGUCUUGCAUGUAGGCAUCGCAGGGCCUAAACCAAUCAGUUUGAAUGUGUACCCAGCUUUAGAACUGACCUAUCACCCCCGCCCGACCUGUUCCCGCCAAUGUAUGUACUAAUCAAGUCUAAGAAUUGUUGUUUGACUUUCCCGCGGUGUAUGAUGAUUUGUUAAAGGAGACUGUGAUGUAUGUAAAGUCCCACCCUCCCCAAAAAGUGUACUUAAACAUUGCACAACCCCUGCUCUGGGCUCUGGGCUGCUCUCUUUUCUCGAGUGGGCACAGAACCCCAGCAUGCUGGAAUCUCAAUAAACCCCUUUUGUUGUUGCAUGAGUCACAGUCCCUUGGUGGUCUCUUCCUCCGAUGUUCGCCGGACCCUUACACUCUCAGCA